GGAGACUCUAAGACUUCUGAAGAGUUUCUUGCUUCUUUCCUGUGGGGCAGUGACUCCACUUCCCAGCAGUAAUGGAAUAUCCUGAAUUAGCUACAUUAAUGUUAGAACCAUUUGGACCUCACCCAGGACUUCAACUACAUUAUGAGUAACUCCUGGACGAUUGGCACAGAAGAAGGCACAAGGCAAAUACCCAUCUCUGUACACCCUGUGCUACUGUGUCAUGUGCUGCUCCAGGCAACUCCAAUGGAUUGGCCACCCUGGCCAAUGUGCCCUCCAAACACCAGCACUGAGUAGAAAGAGGCUCUGAUUCAUGAAAUGUGAAUUUAUGACAGUUGCCACUCUUAAAAAAAAAAACAAACAGACAGAACUUGAGCAAUACAUGACUGAUGCAUUCUCAGCCUGCUUCCUGUGUUCCAUCUGUCUUUCUGCCAGUGCAUUCACCCUCCAGGUUCUAGUAUGUUACGUUUAUGUUCCCCUGCUUUCUACAAUCCUGUUCAAAGAGUUGCUGACUUAACCACAGAGAGGAUUCCAGAACCUGAGACACAGAAUAAACUUGAGCAAUCAUAGUCCAUCCACUUCAUUGUCUCAUCAAAAACCAAAGGUCCAGUGAAGCUCUGGAACUCAACGCUGUAAAGGAGCGAAGGAGCUUCUAUACAGAGCCUGGAUGCCUGUCUCCUUAUCCUACUUCAGUGGACUUGACUGCAAUCCGGAUUAUGCUGUUUUCUAAGCAUUUAAAAUAAAA
rnacentral:lncRNA from 1 species